CCACACUACAAUGAGAGCAAUAGGAGAACAUAACGUGAGUGAGGGAGAUAGAGAGAAAGGAGUAGGAUAGAAAGAAAGAAAGAAACAGAAAGGAAAGGAAACAAAAGAAAAGAGACACUGGGAGAAAGAAAAGAGACACUGGGAGAAAGAAAAGGAUAUGUGAGAAUGAAAAUAGAGAGGGAAGAAGAGGAAAGGAAAGCGGUAGAAGAAAGAGAAGGGAAGGCAUGAUUACAAAGAUUAGUUUUAGAGAAUUAGAUUUGGGAUUCAAAGGAAUAUGUAUCUAUACAAUAGCUUGGAAUCCAGUCUUGCAGGUUAUUAAACACAAGAACUAUGAAGAUUAGUGAUCGAAAGCAAUUAGAGUCAGUUGGAGUUUUGUAUAUGUAAGAUCAUUAUUCCGGAAGUGAGUACUCUUAGUGAUCUUGAGUUAGAUUUAUCCUUGUAUCGAAAGGAGAAGUCAAUUCCAUUAAUAAAGUGUCGAUUUUAUUUUCUAUUUGUUUAUUUUUUAUUUUUACUCACACCUCGAAUUUCGGGAAAUAUUUAAAAAAAAAUUGACCCAAAUUCGGGGCAUGACAGUAGCUGAUGGAGCUGUGGCCCAGCUACAAUUUCUGAUCAAAAGAGAUAAGCAAUCCGUCUCAUGAAAGGGAAGCAUAAUCAUUAUGCUUUUUUUGAAUAAUGACUCUUAGACAUGCAUUAGAAACUACGUUCAACAUGACGAUAUUGAACUGAGUUCCUACCCUCUGGCUUGCAUAAGUAAUGUUAUGCUUGUAUAGGGGACUACAUUACUAUAUCUCAGGUUUUCGCUAUGUUGCUUCAACUUAGUUCUGAGUUCUAUUUCUUGUGUGACUUUACAAUUGGUUUCAGUCUUACAGGAUUAUAGAAUUAUCUGGAGAUUGGUUUCACUAUGUUAGUUUAGUUAGAAGUAUAGAAUUAUAUGGAGAUAUAUACAUAUAUUUUGUAAUGAAUUCAUAUCUUAAGUUUCAGCUGUAUUUUGAUCCCACUGUAUACAUGCAUGUGUGAAGUUGCAGAGGGGGUAAUCGGAUAUAUUCAUUUAUUACCCUUCCAGGAAAGAGUGUUAUUUGGUGCAAGUGAUUAUACAUCAUCUCCCAUUGGUUACAAAUGCAUCAGACUUCCAACAACUCUGUACAGAUUGAACAGGUCUCCAUUCGAGAGGAGAUGAAUGUCACAGACAUUGAUGAUCAUGGCCACAAGGCCUAAUCAAAGAGAUUGACAAUGCACCCAAGUUUACUGUGAACAAUAGUCUUACUUAACCCCAGAUACACCGCUAAAGUUGGUUGAUCAUAGGAUGACGUUAUCAGAGACAAUCAUACUCUGUACUUUAGCAGCUCUAGUCUUGAGAUCCAGACUAGAGUUGAGAGUUGAACUUUUUUUUUCUUUUUUUGGGUCAAGGUCCGCACAGUUAGAAAGUGGCGGUAAAAUUCCCGCCAAUUGUCUUUUUUCUUUUUUUUUCUUUUUUCUUUUCCUCUCUCUCUAUUCAAAGAUGAUCGCGCCAAUUGAACAAUUUUUAGGUUCACCCUUAGAGUGAAUGAGCAUGUGCACCCCCGUUGUCG